GAUGAACGCUAGCGGCAGGCUUAAUACAUGCAAGUCGAGGGGCAGCAUAAGGGUAGUAAUACCCUGGUGGCGACCGGCGCACGGGUGCGUAACGCGUAUGCAACCUACCCAUUAUCGGAACAUAACUUUUAGAAAUGAAGGCUAAUAUUCCAUAAUACUGAGAAAUGGCAUCUUUUUUCAGUUAAAGAUUUAUUGAUAAUGGAUGGGCAUGCGUAUCAUUAGCUAGUUGGUAAGGUAAUGGCUUACCAAGGCGACGAUGAUUAGGGGUUCUGAGAGGAUUAUCCCCCACACUGGAACUGAGACACGGUCCAGACUCCUACGGGAGGCAGCAGUAAGGAAUAUUGGGCAAUGGAAGCAAUUCUGACCCAGCCAUGCCGCGUGAAGGAAGACAGCCUUAUGGGUUGUAAACUUCUUUUAUUGUAGAAUAACCGCAGGGACGUGUUCCCUGCCUGCAAGUAUAUAAUGAAUAAGCAUCGGCUAACUCCGUGCCAGCCGCCGCCGUAA
rnacentral:rRNA from 1 species